rnacentral:tRNA from 1 species
GGGCACGUGGUCUAGGGGUAUGACGUCUGCUUCGCACUGAUCUUGGUUUGGAGAUGAGCUAUGAAAACCGUAGUAAUCAUCUUUGUAUACCGGUCUACAGUGGUAUGCUGAAGGUCCGGGGUUCAAUUCCCCGCGUGUCCA